rnacentral:rRNA from 1 species
UACGUCGGGCGCAAGCGUUGUCCGGAAUUAUUGGGCGUAAAGAGCUCGUAGGUGUCUUGUCACGUCGGGUGUUAAAGCUUGGGGCUUAACUCCAGGUCUGCAUUCGAUACGGGCUGGCUAGAGGUAGGUAGGGGAGAACGGAAUUCCUGGUGUAGCGGUGAAAUGCGCAGAUAUCAGGAGGAACACCGGUGGCGAAGGCGGUUCUCUGGGACGGUACUGACGCUGAGACGCGAAAGCGUGGGGAGCGAACAGG